rnacentral:rRNA from 1 species
CCUAGGGGUGGCAGCAGUGGGGAAUAUUGCGCAAUGGGCGAAAGCCUGACGCAGCGACGCCGCGUGAGGGAUGAAGGUCUUCGGAUCGUAAACCUCUGUCAGCAGGGAAGAACGGUCACUGUGCUAAUCAGCAGUGAAUUGACGGUACCUGCAAAGGAAGCACCGGCUAACUCCGUGCCAGCCGCCGCGGUAAUACGGAGGAUGCGAGCGUUAUCCGGAUUUAUUGGGUUUAAAGGGUGCGCAGGCGGUCUGUUAAGUCAGCGGUCAAAGCCCGGGGCUCAACCCCGGCCCGCCGUUGAAACUGGCAGGCUCGAGUUGGAGAGAAGUAUGCGGAAUGCGCGGUGUAGCGGUGAAAUGCAUAGAUAUCGCGCAGAACUCCGAUUGCGAAGGCAGCAUGCCGGCUCCACACUGACGCUGAGGCACGAAAGCGUGGGUAUCGAACAGGAUUAGAUACCCUAGUAGUC